UCUCAUUUGUCCUUGGCAAUUCAGUAGAAGGAUGAGGUUCCUUUUUUUCAUAUAUAUAAUGCGUUACUUUGGAAAUUUUAGAUUUAUAAUUCGAAUGUGUUUUGUUUUACAUGAGUUGGUUUUAAUGUAGGUUUAUAUGAAUGGUGCUAGUUUACACUUUAGAGCAUGGUGGAGAAUUUGCACCAUUCAUAUAAACCUACAUUAAAAC
rnacentral:misc_RNA from 1 species